rnacentral:lncRNA from 1 species
CCUAUAACUAUGCUAAUUUUUUUUUUAUAUUUUAUAUUUUUUAUAUUUUAUAUUUUUUUAUUUUAUAUUUUUUUAUUUUAUAUUUUUUUANNNNNNNNNNUUUAUUUUAUAUUUUUUUAUUUUAUAUUUUUUUAUUUUAUAUUUUUUAUUUUUUUUAGUUAAGAUACAGAGAACGAAGUCCUGAGUUAAUGGAAAUGGCUAGUUCGGAUGGUAUCUUAGAAGGUAGCACAGAUAGAGAACAUAAGAAAACUUAUUAUGAUGAAAUAAAAUAUUUGAAUAAAAGUCAGUUAAGAGCAUAUGUAUGUAAAUUAAAAAAAGAGUUAAAAUAUUAUAAAAUAAAAGAAAUGAAUAUGGUUAUAGAAAUAAAAUAUUUAAGACGUAAAGUAAAAAGAUUAAGAAGUAUAAUGGAAGAAGAUAGUAUUUUAAGAAUAAAUAAAAAUAGUUUAUAUGUUAAAAAUGAUAAAAACAGUUCAUCAAUUAAUUUUAAUAAUAGUGGUAGUAUAAAGUCAUUACAACAUAUACCCUGUUAUUAUAAUUGUCAGAAUAGUAAUACUAAAUUAUCUGCAAAGAGUUAUAAUAAAAGUAUGUAUAAAUAUGAUGAUAAUAAUAAUAAUAUUGUUAAACAUAAGAAUAAACAUAACUCUUAUAAGAGUAAUAAAAGCGAAAGUCAAUUUCGAAAUGUAUCAAUCCGUAGCAUAAAUGAUAGUAUACAUAAAAGCAGAAGGAUGAGUGAACAUAAUUACAAACAUGUUGAUAAUAGUAGUAAUAAAAAAUAUGAUAAAACAGUAAUCCCUAUAAAAAAAAAAAAGCAAAAGGAUUACAUGAACAAUAAUUUUUAUUAUAAUCAGCGAAAUUAUAGAGAUAGUAACAUUUAUAACAAUAAAUAUAAUUGCUCGUCUAAUUAUAGUUACACAGAUUGUUACAAAGAUAGUCGUAAAUAUUCUUCUUCUAUGAGGUUUUAUAAAAAGGAUAUACAAGGAAGUCAAUCUUCAUCUGGUAGAGUAGACCCAGACACAAUAAGACCAGGCACAAUAAGACCAAACACAAUAAGACAAGGCACAUUGAGGACAAGCGUAGAAAAAAAAAGUGAACUUCAUAAUAAUAAUAAUAAUAAUAAUAAUAAUAAUAAUAAUAAUAACGAAAAACAAUUUUUACCUCAAAGAAGCUAUUCUUCAACAUCCAAAUUUGAACUAAGAAAAAAUUUAAUAUAUAGUAAUAAAAAAAUAAGAGAUUUAUCCAAUAAAAUUAAUAAUACAAUAACACAUGAUAUAAAACAUUAUUAUAAAUCACAACAAAAUAUACUAAAAGAAAACAGUAGAGAUAUAUCAGUUUCAAAUCCUAUUUUAUUAAAUAAAAAUGAUGAAAACUUAAAAAGUAGUGCUAGU